rnacentral:rRNA from 1 species
UACGUAGGGGGCAAGGCGUUGUCCGGAUUCAUUGGGCGUAAAGAGCGUGUAGGCGGCCAGGUAGGUCGGUUGUGAAAACUGGAGGCUCAACCUUCAGAGGUCGACCGAAACCAUCUGGCUAGAGUCCGGGAGAGGAGAGUGGAAUUCCUGGUGUAGCGGUGAAAUGCGUAGAUAUCUGGAGGAAUACCGGUGGCGAAGGCGGCAUCCUGGACCGACAUUGACGCUGAGGAGCGAAAGCUAGGGGAGCAAACGGGG